rnacentral:rRNA from 1 species
CAGUAGCCGCGGUAAGACAGAGGAUGCAAGCGUUAAUCGGAAUUACUGGGCGUAAAGCGCACGCAGGCGGUCUGUCAAGUCAGGUGUGAAAUCCCCGGGCUUAACCUGGGUACUGCAUUUGAAACUGGCAGGCUAGAGUCUUGUAGAGGGGGGUAGAAUUCCAGGUGUAGCGGUGAAAUGCGUAGAGACCUGGAGGAAUACCGGUGGCGAAGGCGGCCCCCUGGACAAAGACUGGCGCUCAGGUGCGAAAGCGUGGGGAGCAAACAGGAUUAGAUACCCGAGUAGUCCCUGUCUCUUAUAC